GGGUUUUGCGCUCUGCGCAUGGACUGUCAAAAUAGAGCCCAUAGAGUUUGUGUAAACUGUGCAACUGACCACCGUUUUCAGGCCGACUCGGGUAAGGUUCCGCACCAUUUGAAUCACAUCCAGAUUAAUUUAAAUCUGAGGCAACAAACUAAAUCGAAAGCCACACCGCUAAACUAUUUACAUAACAAAUGACUUCAGGCUAUAAAUCAUAAAUGGAUUUUUUUACACAACUACUAACACAUGUUAACACAUUAGUGAUAAUUAUUUUACCAAUAAUUCUCCUGAGUUUGCACUGAAGUAACUGAAAUGCCAACAGGACUUGUCUGUAAAAGCACCUCUCUAACAUGUAUCUGCUUAAGCCCUCCACAGUUUUUUUUAGAUUCUUAGCAUCUGAUGACAUGAUGCACUAAACAUACUAAUCAUAACAGUGUGAUCGUACAGAACAGGGAACAGCCAAUGCUGAUCACAUCUGUUAUCGUUUGCAUCAAAGGGUAAAAGGGCGUUCAUAUAUUUUUAAUUAUUAUUCAGUGAUUUCUCUGCAUACCACUAGAAGGAAACCCGCGUACAACACUUUGAGAACCACUGGUAUAGAUGGGUGGUUAGGCCUUGUCUGUGUCAGGUUUUUCCUUUUUUCAGGUAUUGGAGAGCAGGCAAAAGAGGGAGACUCACAAGAGCAGUGGAGCAGAAGAAGGAGAACGGUGGAGAUAUACUUGAAGACCUGGAGCUCAUGAAGCAGGUUGGCAUGGAGCAUGUGAAGGAACAGGGAAACACACUGUAAUGACUAGUGCAUCGUAAUAAAUUAGGUACAGCCUUAAACUUUAAGUUGAGUCAACUGAACUUUAUAAAACAUUUUAAACUUAUACAAUUACAUUUUUACAGAGUAAGUGUCACAGAAGGGACGACAUUCAGUUCAGUAAUAUAACAGGACGUCAGGUGAGUAUAAGCAGGUGAGUUUAUUGAUGCAGAUAAUAAGUCCAUUAACCUGAAUUGGAUAUUUGAUUAUGCAGGCUUGGAGACUGGAGACGGAUACCACAGACAGCAAACAGGAUGAAGACUAAACGAGGAACCAGGAGACACCUCACUAGGAGAGACACUGGAACUCACAGGAGAUGUGCUUGUGGUGCUUCAGUGAGUGGAAAACCUGGUCUUAAUGGGGCAGUAAGUGGUUGUCAGAUAUUUCCUUCAGAUAGACAGAAAUAGAUACAAUAUUUUUGUUUGUAUGCUUCAUUUGUAUAUCGCUAUCUAACUUAACAUUUGCAGAUUGUUAUUUGUUAUAUGAUCGGAUAAAUUGAUCUGUUCUAAUGUAUUUGUAUGCUGUCAGAGUUACCACAUUGAAUAUUACUGCACGUCUGUUGUCAGAUAGAUUGUCUGGCUGUUGUAUUAUUUAUUAGUAAUUUAUGCUGUUGGCCUGUUCAACAUUUGUAGCUUUUGAUUGUUUUUUGUUUUAUUUACAGUUUUACUAAUUAUUGUAGCACAUUUAUCUCUUCUAAGUUUAUAGAUUGUCAUCUAGUAGAGUAUUUACUUAUAGGUGUGAAAUAUUAUUUGUUAGUUUUAGAACAGAACCAGACUGGAGACAAUGGUAGAUGAAACUUCCAAAGAAUGGUAUUAGAUUAAUGAAUGACUUGACAUCUUUCUAUUGUAUUUUACAGAUCAGAUGGCACCACAUGGAGAAAAGAAGGAAUCACACACCUCAGCAAUGACUGGAUGGUCAGGAAUUUAAUUU